CAAUAGCGUAUAUUAAAGUUGUUGCAGUUAAAAAGCUCGUAGUUGAAUUUCUGGCGGGCGCGCCGGUCUUCCAAGUGUUGUACUGGGCGCAGUCCGCCAUCCUUGUGGAGAGGGCUCGCAUUGAGUUGCGUGUCGGAUCUGCAUCAUUUACUGUGAAAAAAUUAGAGUGUUUAAAGCAGGCUGUCGCUUGAAUACAUUAGCAUGGAAUAAUAAGAUAGGAAUUCGGUCUAUUUUGUUGGUUGCGAACCGAGGUAAUGAUUAAUAGGGAUAGUUGGGGGUAUUCAUAUUUAAUUGUCAGAGGUGAAAUUCUUGGAUUUAUGAAAGAUGAACAACUGCGAAAGCAUUUACCAAGGAUGUUUUCAUUAA
rnacentral:rRNA from 1 species